UACGUAGGUGGCAAGCGUUGUCCGGAUUUACUGGGCGUAAAGAGCGCGCAGGCGGUCGGCCAAGUCGAGUGUGAAAGCCCCCGGCUCAACUGGGGAGGGUCAUUCGAUACUGGUCGACUCGAAGGCAGGAGAGGGAAGCGGAAUUCCCGGUGUAGUGGUGAAAUGCGUAGAGGAUCCGGAGGAACACCGACGGCGCAGGCAGCGUCCUGGCCGCUUGCUGACACUGAGGCGACGAAAGCUGGGGGAGCAAACAGG
rnacentral:rRNA from 1 species